AGUCGAGCGAACAGACGAGGAGCUUGCUCCUCUGACGUUAGCGGCGGACGGGUGAGUAACACGUGGAUAACCUACCUAUAAGACUGGGAUAACUUCGGGAAACCGGAGCUAAUACCGGAUAAUAUAUUGAACCGCAUGGUUCAAUAGUGAAAGACGGUUUUGCUGUCACUUAUAGAUGGAUCCGCGCCGCAUUAGCUAGUUGGUAAGGUAACGGCUUACCAAGGCAACGAUGCGUAGCCGACCUGAGAGGGUGAUCGGCCACACUGGAACUGAGACACGGUCCAGACUCCUACGGGAGGCAGCAGUAGGGAAUCUUCCGCAAUGGGCGAAAGCCUGACGGAGCAACGCCGCGUGAGUGAUGAAGGUCUUCGGAUCGUAAAACUCUGUUAUUAGGGAAGAACAAAUGUGUAAGUAACUAUGCACGUCUUGACGGUACCUAAUCAGAAAGCCACGGCUAACUACGUGCCAGCAGCCGCGGUAAUACGUAGGUGGCAAGCGUUAUCCGGAAUUAUUGGGCGUAAAGCGCGCGUAGGCGGUUUUUUAAGUCUGAUGUGAAAGCCCACGGCUCAACCGUGGAGGGUCAUUGGAAACUGAAAAACUUGAGUGCAGAAGAGGAAAGUGGAAUUCCAUGUGUAGCGGUGAAAUGCGCAGAGAUAUGGAGGAACACCAGUGGCGAAGGCGACUUUCUGGUCUGUAACUGACGCUGAUGUGCG
rnacentral:rRNA from 1 species